GGAGGAGGUCAUUGAUCAAAUGCUUCUUGGUGAAGUUUUCACAGUCAAUAGCUUCGGUUGCAGGGUUAAAGAUCAAGACACAUUAACCCAGCUCACGAUAUUAUUGAAUAGAGUAAUUGCUGGUGGGGAAGGUGAGAAAUUGUUUUUUGGGUUAUUUAAUAAACAGGAUAAGUAUAUUGAAGCCUUAAUCUCUGCAAAUAAAAAAGUUGAUGACGAUGGUCGAGUAACUGGGGUCUUGUGCUUCCUGCAUGUUCCUAGUCCAGAACUUCAAUAUGCAAUGCACGUACAAAAGCUGUCAGAACAAGCUGCUAAAAAUAGUCUUAAAAAGUUGGCUUAUGUUCGUCUUGAACUAAAAAACCCUUUAAAUGGGAUAAACUGCAUACAGAAUCUGCUGAAAUCUUCUGAUUUGAGCAAGGAUCAAAGGCAAUUGCUGAAGACAAGCACAAUGUGUCAAGAACAACUAGCCAAGAUCAUUGACGACACUGAUAUUGAGAGUAUUGAGGAAUGCUAUACAGAAAUGAACUCUUGUGAGUUCAAUCUUGGAGAAG
rnacentral:misc_RNA from 1 species